ACAUGCAAGUCGAACGGUUUUUCAGGUGUAGCAAUAGCACUUGAAAAGCAGGUGGCGAACGGGUGCGUAACACGUGGAACAAUUUACCGGUUUAGUGUGGAAUAGCUCGGCGAAAGCCGGAUUAAUACCGCAUGUGGUUGUCCUUCUCCUGAAGGGCAUACUAAAGCCGGGGACCGCAAGGCCUGGCGCUAAUAGAGAAGUUCGCGGCCUAUCAGCUAGUUGGCGAGGUAACGGCUCACCAAGGCUAAGACGGGUAGCUGAUCUGAGAGGAUGAUCAGCCCACACUGGAA
rnacentral:rRNA from 1 species